GGUUUAUAUAACAGGAAAAACAAAGGAAGGUGGAACGAUAAUCUCUAACGAAGAUAGGAGAAAAUAUCAGAAUUGAAUGAGCAAGAUUGGGGUGUAAUAAUUACAGAGAGAUUGCAGAGAUUAGAAUAGUGAAUUGGAAGAGUCGGAGUUGAAGGCGACGAACAUUCUGCGUAGAAUAAGAUAUGGGCUGUUCUAUAUAGGCCUAUAUUUU
rnacentral:lncRNA from 1 species